AUGUCAAACAUUAUGCCAGAGGUUGUCCAGGAAAACAGCACAUCUACAAGCAGCCUUGUCCCCCCAUCUCUCAAACGUGUCAACAUUAGCACAUGUGGCGUAACUGGGAGGUGGCUAUCUCAACUGCUUUCACAUUCGCAGUCCCUUGAGGAGUUGCUGUUAACUGGCUGUCCGCAGAUAAAGUUUCUAUCAAUCAGUCAACCUAGAGAAAUGGAAGGGACCAGCAGUUUGGUUUCAGCAGUGACGACCUCGGCCCAAGAUGAACAUGAAUUGAAACUGCCAUAUAAUCUCCUAUGUUCUCUCAAGGCGCUAUGCAUUCAGCUAAGCCUGGAUCUGGAGUUCUGUGGGGGUUACAGAGACUUCGCAGGAUUCACCUCUCUUACGGACCUAGUCCUUUUUGGUUGCCCCAAGCUGGUCUCAUCGUUGGUGGGUGAAACAAAAGAUGAUGGUACCAUGGAAGUUGGAUUACUCCCACCAGCACUUGAAAAAGUUACUAUCAGUCCUCUCCAAGAAAGCCUGCGGUCCUUCACUCCUCAAGGCCUUCUCCACCUCAAAGAGCUAAGUCUCUUUUAUGGCCCAUGUUUGAAGUCUGUACAGCUGCAUUCCUGUACCUCCCUAGUGGAGCUAGGGAUCACGGGGUGUGUCCAGCUGGCUGUACUGGAGGGUUUGCAGUUCCUCACCUCCCUCCGAAGCUUGGAUAUUGAGAUGAGCCCGGAGCUGUCUUCUGCAUGGGAUCUCAAACUGCAGGAGCAAGAACAGGGUGGCAAUCAAAUUCAGCUGCUUCCUCCGUCCCUUGAUAAACUUGAGAUCAGGGCUCUCACGGACAGUGUCCAAUCCCAUCUUCUGUCCUGCCUUCCUGCCAUCACCAAAUUAGCGAUAGGGCGUAGUCCAGAAUUGACAUCUCUACAGCUGGGAUGCUGCACGGCACUAAAAGAGUUGGAAAUUGAAAAAUGCGACUCACUGGAGUCCAUCGAGGGCCUCCAAUUCUGUAGAAACCUGAAAUACCUGAGAGUAUUUAACUCCCCUGGCCUAGCUUCCUUUUUGGAGCUCGUGUCGCACCAGCAAGGGGCCUCUGCGACCUUGUCUGGACUGGAAACUCUUGAGGCCAGUGACGGGUCUGUCCUUUCCAGGUCUUUCUGCAAACAGCUCACAUCUCUAGGACUCCUACAGUUCGGCUCUGAGACUAGUGAAUGGAGAGGAGAGAGCUUGGUGAGCCUAACGGAGGAACAAGAGGGAGCGUUACAGCUUCUAACCUCCCUCCAAGAGCUUCAAUUUCGGAGAUGCCAGAAUCUCUUGUCACUUCCUGCAAAUCUUAAUAGCCUGACCUCCCUCGAGACAUUAUCUAUCAUACAUUGUAAGAGCAUCACAAGGCUGCCAGACAUGGGCCUCCCAACUUCUCUCAGAUCUCUCAAGUUAUUCUACUGUAGUGAGGAGCUAGCCGUGCAAUGCAGAAUUGUAGCAACAGAGAAGCUAAGGGUGAGGAUUGAUCGUCAGGAUGUGAAUUAA
rnacentral:rRNA from 1 species